CUUCACCGACCCCAGCAACAGCGGACGGUCCGCCUUCCGCUCCUGACCGUACGUGGCCAGCAACGCCUGCGCCUC
rfam:Streptomyces bingchenggensis BCW-1, complete genome.